CGUCCCUUGGUGCGUCGUCUGCUCGGCUGGCCUUCCAGUGCAAAUGUCUUCCACACAAGUUUCAAGUUUUUCCUCAACAGAAAUUCGCACCUGCUGUCCUCGGCACUGUCGUCGGCCUUUUCCAGACAUUCUGGAGACAUUACCAGAUCCAAUUGUGAUAGUAGGGAAAGAACAUGCAACUAAAGGCUAUGGGUAUCGACGCAUCUUACGAACCGGCUUCAUUUGGGCUUCCAAGACACCGUUACGGAUGCAAAGAGGGCACCGAGACCUUUCGGACGCAGAUCCGACUAAGUGCGUACAUGGGAUGUUGGUGUAGACAGAACAUUGAAAUCACACAGCUCCAUGUUUUCACAUACCUUUACUAAUAUAAAGCCAUCAUAUUUGGCCGCAAAUGUGUAUACUUUCAUUUGUAUAUUUAUUACACCACGAACAUGCAUGACCGAUUGUUUCUUUAUUUCGACUUGUACAAUACUUUUUAUGUUGUGGGAAUUGUGCAAAGUUUAUGUGACUGAAUAAACGUUAAUUUUUG